GACGAACGCUGGCGGCGUGCCUAAUACAUGCAAGUCGAGCGAAGUUUUUCUGGUGCUUGCACUAGAAAAACUUAGCGGCGACCGGGUGAGUAACACGUAAAGAACCUGCCUCAUAGACUGGGACAACUAUUGGAAACGAUAGCUAAUACCGGAUAACAGCAUUAACUGCAUGGUUGAUGUUUAAAAGUUGGUUUUGCUAACACUAUGAGAUGGCUUUGCGGUGCAUUAGCUAGUUGGUGGGGUAAAGGCCUACCAAGGCGACGAUGCAUAGCCGACCUGAGAGGGUGAUCGGCCACACUGGGACUGAGACACGGCCCAGACUCCUACGGGAGGCAGCAGUAGGGAAUCUUCCGCAAUGGGCGAAAGCCUGACGGAGCAACGCCGCGUGAGUGAAGAAGGAUUUCGGUUCGUAAAGCUCUGUUGUUAGGGAAGAAUGAUUGUGUAGUAACGAUACACAGUAGAGACGGUACCUAACCAGAAAGCCACGGCUAACUACGUG
rnacentral:rRNA from 1 species